rnacentral:rRNA from 1 species
UCAGGAUGAACGCUAGCGACAGGCUUAACACAUGCAAGUCGAGGGCAUCACGGGAGUAGCAAUACAACCGGUGGCGACCGGCGCACGGGUGAGUAACGCGUAUGCAACCUACCUAUCAGAGGGGAAUAACCCGGCGAAAGUCGGACUAAUACCGCAUAAAACAGGGGCACCGCAUGGUGAUAUUUGUUAAAGAAAUUCGCUGAUAGAUGGGCAUGCGUUCCAUUAGGUAGUUGGUGAGGUAACGGCUCACCAAGCCGACGAUGGAUAGGGGAACUGAGAGGUUGGUCCCCCACACUGGUACUGAGACACGGACCAGACUCCUACGGGAGGCAGCAGUGAGGAAUAUUGGUCAAUGGGCGGGGAGCCUGAACCAGCCAAGUCGCGUGAAGGAAGAAGGAUCUAUGGUUCGUAAACUUCUUUUGCAGGGGAAUAAAGUGCAGGACGUGUCCUGUUUUGUAUGUACCCUGAGAAUAAGGAUCGGCUAACUCCGUGCCAGCCGCGGC